UACCAGCACCCCGAGUGGUCGGGACGUUUAUUGGGCCUAAAGCAUCCGUAGCCGGUUCUACAAGUCUUCCGUUAAAUCCACCUGCUUAACAGAUGGGCUGCGGAAGAUACUAUAGAGCUAGGAGGCGGGAGAGGCAAGCGGUACUCGAUGGGUAGGGGUAAAAUCCGUUGAUCCAUUGAAGAACACCAGUGGCGAAGGCGGCUCACUGGCCCGGUACUGACGCUGUGACGCGAAAGCGUGGGGAGCAAACAGG
rnacentral:rRNA from 1 species